GCUCACAGCUGAGGACAAAGAGGUUCCAAAUACACUUGCAUCUUAGAAGAGCAUCCAGGAAAUGGGACCCGACCUCACAAGCUCCCGAGGCUUAUAAAGAGAGAGCAGUGCAGGCCUUCAGCAGCCAACCCCUCCUCAGCCCCAUCCUAUCCUCUGGUGCAUACAAGGAGAGGACUGAGGAUGGGGCUGGGAGAGAAAGCAGUGCUGUCCACCAUGGGGAGUAUAGGGUCGGUGGAGAUAGGUGAUCCUUUCAUAUGGACUGGAGGUGCCGAGAAGAAAAAAGAUGCAUUCUCAGGCCCCAGCCGAGGGCACAUCGAGCUGCCCAAACGGGAUUUCAGAAGGAUGGUGCAGUUCAUGCCGGCAGUUGCGGGGUGGCGGUAGAGUGUGCCCAGAAAGAAGAUGGGGGCUACCUCUCACUCAUCUCUGCCUCCUGGGCAGGAAGAGAAGAAGCCCCCAGCCGUUCAGCCUGAAGCAACCCCAAACUGGGGUCAAGGUAAAAGCUGGGCCAGGUGAGGCAGCAGCUUACCCAGAGAGGGGUGGGAGACACGGACGACUGGAGGACCAGUCAUGGAAAUGGCUGCUCCUCUCUGGGGAGGUUCUCCGUUUCUGAGGAGGCAGAUGUGAACCGACCUCAGGAGCAACAGUGCCCACCAGCUCUGCAGAGACUCCAUGUCGGCAGGGAAUAUCAGCAGCAGUUAGGAGCGCAUCGAAUGAGGCUCCCUGCUUCAUCUAGAACUUUUGUGAGUAAUGCAUUUGAGACCAAGGAGCGGACAUUAGGACGGCAGCCCUUUCAUCACUAUUAAGCACCAUGAGGAAGACUCUGACGUGAUGAAAUGGCACAAGUCCUCCAACUACAAAAUUAACCUCCAACUAUAAAAUUAACGGGUGCUGCCCGUUUGCUCCUUGGAGCCAGUCUUCCCUUCCUCCCUUUGCUUUCUGCUUUAGGAGGUUGACCUGCACAGACUACAUUGACCAUGCCUUUGCCCCUGACUUCUGGUUUGAGGUCAUGAGGUCAUGAGGGUGGGACCACCAUGAUGGCAUUAGUGGCUUUACAAGGAGAGCAAAGAAGACCUGAGCUAGCAUGCUUGCUCUGUCUCACCAUGUGAUGUCAUCUGCCAUGCUAUAAUGCAACGAGGAGACUCUCACAAGAUACCAGCAUCCUGUUCUGGACUUUCUAGUCCAGAAAUUAACCUCUGUUCUCUUAUAGCAACAGAAAAUAGGCUAAGCCUUAGGUAGUUCCACAGAAUCUGGAAUUUCCUGCCUCACCAAAGAUGUGCAAGCUUUCUAAAGCCAUAAGUCAAUUAUCCAAGGCUAAUUAUAGUAAGUGAACAGAUUCCGUGUCCUACGAGAAACAUUUCCUAUACAUUAAGUACAUGCUAUGAGGCAUGUGGUGGCCACAUGCUUCGAGGCCAACUGACACAUUCCUAGGAGAGUCUUUUUAAAUUUGUGAUGAAUAUCAAAAGGUUAUUAUUCCUUCUCAGCAAAUAUAAUGGGAGAACCUGUAUAGGUUUAAAUUUAAGAAGCAUAUUUUGUCAUUUCUAAGACACACAUUUAUUGAUUAUUGUUGGGGUCCCCUCGGUGGGAGACUGGAACCUGAAGACAGUAUCAGACAAAACCUAUUAAAUGAAGGGCACGGGGGACCACAACUCUUGGAGUUAAGGUGAGGUUUACUGAUAAUAUCCUUCUCUUAUACAUUUUUCUGUAGGAUACAUCAAUCAUUAACAGUUUACAAUGCUAGUCAACUAACCACCAGUUAUAUCUAUGAGUACAUAAAACAUCUACAGAGCCAUCUAUGCUCCUUUAAUCUUAGUGCAUCUUAUCUAAAUCAUCCUGGCUACUUAAAGCUUCUAAAAAGUUAGCUAUUCUUAUCUAGUCCUAUACCAAGCAAAUAUUUGAGAGUCUUAAGGGACCACAGUGGAAUGAACACUGUGAGACCGACAAACAGCCUUCUGAAGUUAUCUUUAAUUUCUCUAUCUGGGCCUGCCACAGACAUCAGGACAAUCUGUCUUCCCAAGGCUGUCCGAGGGCCUGAGAACUUCUCAUAUCCUCCAUAGGUUAUAAUCUUCUUAAAUUAGGAUAUGUUCUUUUUUUUUUUUUGGUACCGGGGAUUGAACUCGGGUCCUUGUGCUUACGCAGCAGGCGGCAAAACCACUGAGCUAAAUCCCCGGCCCCAAUUAGGGUAUGUCUUAAAUUCUUGUAUAAUAACCAGCUAGAAUUCAGAAAAUUUUUGUCAAUGCUUUAGGAAUACUCAAAUAAAUUUGUUUUCCUUUUUGUGUAUGCAGAAGAGUAAUGUAAGAUAAAAUCUGUGUCAAAGUAAGACUAAAAGAACUUUUUCAUUAAAUGAUAGACUCUAAGUGAUAACAAAGCAUUAUGUCUUAGUUUAAUCGGCAAGAUGUUUUUCUUGGUAGUAUAUAAAUAAUAGUGCAUUUUUCAGUCUAUUGUAUCUUGGAUUCAAAGAAAUGGUAUGUCUCAGAGACUGUUUUCCAUGAACUUGCCUAAUAGAAACACAAUCAAUACAAUAUUUUGGAAAUUCAAAAUACCUAUUCCUUUCUCCCAGGCUUUUGAUCAGAUACUAUUAUGACUAGUGGUUUAUUUAUACUUGGAGUUCAUAAUUUUCAUUUUUAUGAGAGAAUGUACAAAGUGUUGCUAGAGAAAAUAGAAUUUUCUAUAACAAAGUAAAAUUGUGUGAUUUUGGCUGGCAUUUCAACAUAGAUUUGAGGAUAGACUUAGAGUCAUCUCAAAAUGACUCAUUACCACUUUCUGUAGGCCAGGACUUGUCUCACACUUCCAUACUUUGUACAACUAAACCCUCCUCCCAGAUCUGUUGGCUUUUAAAGAGCACGUCUACUUCAUUCACUCAUUUUAGCACGUAUUUAUUGAGCAUCUAUCUAAACUGGGAGCUAUAGUAGGGAUUGUGGAUACAAAGAUGACGUAUAAGUUAAGAUAGGCAUGAUUUUCACCUUUAGCUUCUUAAAUGCUUGCUCUACAGAUAAAUAAAUAAGCAAAUGUACGGAAGUGUGCUGAGCCCUAGGAGCAGUCACAUACAACAAUAGCAGGUACCUCUUGCCUCCCUCAGGUACCCUGUCCUCCAUCUCCAAUGUUCUGCUUCCCUGGCCCCAUGCUUUUCACCUUUAUUUCUUUCUCAGAGAAAGAGCUGUUUCUACUCCCUUUGGGGUUAACCUGCCACCUAUAGGCUUAUCCCACUUCCUCUGGCUUCCACUUGCCUUUGAUGCAGCAGUUAGCUUUAGAAUCUCCCUCUUCAUUAAUGCCUUCCUGCUACUUGAAAUUCAAUUGACCUACUUUGAAAAGAAAACUUCGGCUUUACUAAAUAAUGCAUUCAUUCAUAUUUAAUUGUACUAUAGCGGCAUAACUCAGUUCCUCUCUAGAACAGGAAGUAGAAUUUUAUCUGAACUAAAAGACAGUGAGAAUAACAUUAAGGAAAAUUAAUGUGAGAGGUAUUCUUAGGGAAAAUGAGCAGACUAAUUAAAAAUUGAGUCUGGGUAGGCGCUGAUAUUGUUAAGAAGUAGAGUCCAAGAUGGCAGUUUCUAGGCUAGGACUUGUGGGAUUAGGCUUCUGAAAGCAAUGUGCCUUCUAAAUAUGGAAAGAGGUUGCUGGGAGACAAGAUCUGGAGCCAGAGAGUUGACAGGUGGCAAAUGAUUGGGCAGAGUGGAGUCUGUACACAGAGAAGCCUGAGAACAGCAAUAAAAUAACCAGAAAGCCUGGGUAUGACAGAAAAAAGAAGUGAGGGAUAGGGAGGGAUGUCUGAUCUGUGUUAUGAAAAAGAUUCGUGGGAGGGUGUCCAGGACUAUGUCAGAACCACAACUAUAGUCAUUAAGGAAUCCAGCAUGGUGGUCAAUGCUUUCCCAACAUAGGCUUACUCAGGAGGAACUGAGUCUCCUAAGGGCUGUGGUGGGGUCAUGUGAGGGGCAUGCAUAAAAUGGUGGCUAAA